rnacentral:rRNA from 1 species
UACGUAGGGCGCAAGCGUUGUCCGGAAUUAUUGGGCGUAAAGAGCGUGUAGGCGGUUCGGUAAGUCUGCCGUGAAAACCUGGGGCUCAACCCCGGGCGUGCGGUGGAUACUGCCGGGCUAGAGGGUGGUAGAGGCGAGUGGAAUUCCCGGUGUAGGCGGUGAAAUGCGUAGAUAUCGUAAGGAAGACCAGUGGCGAAGGCGGGUCUCUGGACAGUUCCUGACGCUGAGGCACGAAGGCCAGGGGAGCAAACGGG